rnacentral:rRNA from 1 species
UAAUUGAAGAGUUUGAUCAUGGCUCAGAUUGAACGCUGGCGGCAGGCCUAACACAUGCAAGUCGAGCGGUAACAGGGGGAGCUUGCUUCCCGCUGACGAGCGGCGGACGGGUGAGUAAUGUAUGGGGAUCUGCCCGAUAGAGGGGGAUAACCACUGGAAACGGUGGCUAAUACCGCAUAAUCUCUUAGGAGCAAAGCAGGGGAACUUCGGUCCUUGCGCUAUCGGAUGAACCCAUAUGGGAUUAGCUAGUAGGUGGGGUAAUGGCUCACCUAGGCGACGAUCCCUAGCUGGUCUGAGAGGAUGAUCAGCCACACUGGGACUGAGACACGGCCCAGACUCCUACGGGAGGCAGCAGUGGGGAAUAUUGCACAAUGGGCGCAAGCCUGAUGCAGCCAUGCCGCGUGUAUGAAGAAGGCC